UUGGAGGGCAAGUCUGGUGCCAGCAGCCGCGGUAAUUCCAGCUCCAAUAGCGUAUAUUAAAGUUGUUGCAGUUAAAAAGCUCGUAGUUGAAUUUCAGGGUUUGUCUAUCGGUCGGGCUUCACUGUCCGCACUGAUUUGAUGGAUCCUUACCUUCUGAAUAACCAUCAUGCCAUUAAUUUGGUGCGUUGGGGAAGCAGAGCUAUUACCUUGAAAAAAUUAGAGUGCUUAAAGCAGGCCAGUGCUUGAAUAGAUUAGCAUGGAAUAAUAAAAUAGGACGGCAUGGUUCUAUUCUGUUGGUUUCUAGGAUCACCGUAAUGAUUAAUAGGGAUAGUUGGGGGCAUUAGUAUUCAAUUGUCAGAGGUGAAAUUCUUGGAUUUAUUGAAGACUAACUACUGCGAAAGCAUUUGCCAAGGAUGUUUUCAUUAAUCAAGAACGAAAGUUAGGGGAUCGAAGACGAUCAGAUACCGUCGUAGUCUUAACCAUAAACUAUGCCGAUUUGGGAACGGGGGGAGAUUUUAUUUUGU
rnacentral:rRNA from 1 species